rnacentral:lncRNA from 1 species
CGCAGAUAUCCCCAAACUUGUUAGUGUAUAUAUACAACUGGGAUGUUGUUCUUCAGAAUCCAUCCUUCAAUGCGAGUUGAAGCUUAAAGCAGCGGAUGGACUUGUUCAGGGAUGGAUAUGGAGCAGGAGUAGUACUUUCUGUGAAUAUAUUUUUGCACGAGGGUUUUGCUCCAUAUCCAGUCCUGGGCGAGUCUGGUUCUGCUGUUAUCUUUUAAGGAGAAGGUUAAAUGCAGUGCAGACUUACGGUCACUGAUUUAUUCUUUAGUUCACUCUGGUAUAAUCCUUUAUUUCUUUCUUUCUUUAUACUGUUUUGCAUUAUAGUUGAAUCUUUCCUUGCCCUCGAACGGUUGUCAUUUGAGGUGGGCACCGGUAUCAGUGAUUAGUCUCAGGUUAUUUAUGAUAAAAUAACUCAUUAUUGGCAUUUUUUACUUUUGCUUACGCGUUCAUCUUUGGUUUCAAAAUCUGUUCAACUGAUUCUUGUUAUAGUAAAUGGUAAAGCUAAUUAUUGACUAAUAAUUUUAUAUCCCAUCACUUGAGUUUGCCUUGUUUUCUUGAUAUCAAUCAUAUUGCUAGUGAGUAGUGAGUUUAUACACUUGGUCAAGAUAACAAAUGUUUGGAUAUGAGAUACUAAAGGAAUGAAAUUGGGGAAAAAUGUUAAAAAAUGUUAAGUUCAAUUCGUAAUGCAUGUGAAAACUUAUUGAUGUUUAGUACUUUAUGCCUUUACAAUUACGUUAUGACCCAUGUUAUUGAUUACCACGUACAUAAUAUUGGCACCUUCGUAGAAUAAUUAAAAGCGGUAUAGCUUUCUGAUAAAUAUCAAGAAACUGCUUGCGACGUAAUUGUUAUUAUCAAGUUUACUAUUAAGGGAAUUGAAAACAAGUUCAAUUUUGUAUGUUGUUUCUUUCUAUUUUCUAAAUAAAGAUUUAAAUAAUAUUAGAUUUGAAUAAUCAAUAUCAUGGUUGCCUGGUUAUAAUUUAAGUUUAUGUAGGCAUACGAGUACAGAGAGUAAAAGUGAAAGUUUUGCUAUUUGAGCUCAAUAUCUGUCAUAUAUAUGGAAGAAUUGGAGAUUACAUUAUAGAUUAUCUGUUGAGUUGUGAAUAAUCAUGCUUGUCAAAUGUUGACAGAAGCCAAAGAUAAGUUAUAUGGAAUUCCACAGGGAUUAGCAAUGACAGAGAGAAGAUUGAGCAUCAAAUGUUGAGUUGCAACAGGAAAAGACAAAAUAAGAGAUGUCCAUUUUCAUAAAUAUUCAAAGGAAAAUAUUUCAAAGACACUUUAAUGAAUUAGUUUUAUUCCCAAUAAAUUUAGGGUUGACAUGAAUUCCUUUUUGUUGCUCUGUCUAGUUCAUUGCCACUUCUAUUGGAAUACGGAAAACAACUAGAUCUUAGCAAUCACAAUGGACCUAGGCCACGUUUAUAUUGGGGAUACACAUUUUACUGUCUGAUAUGUUUACGUAGGAUCGCAUCAUUAUCAUGAGUGGAGCCUCUUUGGAAGAUAUGUUAAGAGAACAAAUAAAUUCGUUUUAAAUAUCUUUGAGGCUUGUAAGAAUGACGUGUAGAUUGCUGGUUUAAAAGAAUAAAUGAUUUGCUAAAUAAAAGAAGACGUGUCUUCAAUAAUGGGAGAAAGCCUCCUUUCUUGAGUACAAUGUCUGAGGAGAAUAUUCUUAUAGCUGAUGUGAGCUGGUAUUUGAUUAAGGCUUUUGAGUUUAACACGGAUGUUUUACUCGUACUAUCCCCCAAAUCUAAUAAUCAUAAAAUGAUCAAAGGGACCCUGCUGAAGAUACAAGAAGCAAUAAGCUGAUUCUAAUAUUUUUGGCAUUUGGAAAGAUGACAUUUGGAUAAUAUGAUAGUCUAAAUAAAAAGAAAAAGACGUUUGGGUACACGCUAACGAGAAAAAUAUUCUUAUAGCUGACCUCACACAUUAUUUGUUUAUGGCUUUCGAUACGAAUACAGCCAUUUUACUCAAGCGGUUCUAUUGGAUGUUUACUAUCCAACAAAUCUGAUGAAGCAUUCUAAUAAAGUAAUAAGAAUUGAUUAAUGUUGCAAGUUGCAAUAUUAAGUAGGAAGCCUAUUAAAGAAAAUUAUUUAUGUGGUUGUUAGACCUAAUUAUAGUUCCUGAAUGUCAUUGUAUUGGUGCUUGAUGCAAUAAAAUGUGAUGGCUUGCGUAAGUGGAAAAGGACAGUGGCAUGGAUGAAUUGGGUGGCAUGUAACUGGACCAGAUUUCAGCCUGAUAAGGCACCGGAGCUGUUAGAUUUUGUUUGUCUAAAUUUUUUAUUAUUUGAUAAAAGUUCGAUCAAGUUAAAAUUCCAUACUCCUUUAAUAGGUUGUUAGUUUAGUGUCCUAGUUUAAGAUCCUUUCAGAGAUUGGCUGCCAUUCAAAGCUGAUGACUCAUUCUAAUGAGAUUUCUUGCAACAUGAAAAAGUAGGAAACUUGUGAAACAAAAUAUGUCGUGCAGUAGACUAAUGCGGCAUGUAAUUAAGACAUAGUUGAAUGUAGUUGUUUUAGUACUUGGUACUUUUCAAGACAUAUCCAUCACUCAAGCUCAAUUUCAUGAUAUUAUUUUCUCAGUUUCUGUUAGUUUCUCUAUCUAAAUUUAUCUUUAGAUUUUCGCUAAAUUGGCACUUAACUGUAUUAGUAUCUAGUGCAUAUCUUCACGUCAAGGUAUGAAAAGAUUUAUCAUGGAUUGAGUUGGUACGAUCUCAAACUAAUUAAGUGGCUAGUAGUCUUCAAUCAUCGUGUAAUUUAAUUUUCAUCAAUCUCAUUGACAGUGGAUUUAUACAAAUUAGUUUACGACGUGUAGAUUACUGUUUAAGAUGAGUAAUAUGUUUGGCAAAUAAGCUGGUUUUGAAUGUUUUUGGUAUUUGGAAAGAUGACUUUGUAGAUUACUGUUUAAGAUGAGUAAUAUGUUUUGGCCAAGUAAAAC